AACGCACCUUGCGCUCCUUGGUAUUCCGAGGAGCAUGCCUGUUUGAGUGUCAUUAAAUUCUCAACUCCCUUUGAUUUCUUCAAAGGUGAGCUUGGAUCUUGGAGGCUUUGCCGGCUGUCAAGUCGGCUCCUCUGAAAAGCAUUGGUAAAGACGUAUGCAGGCCUCUGUAAUGGAGGUAUGUGCUGGCCUCUGUAAUGGAGGUAUAUGCUGGCCUCUGUAAUGGAGGUUAGUAUCAGUGUCGGCCUUUCGGUGUGAUAAUUGUCUACGUUGCUUCAACUUGGUGUUAAUUCUGUUCUAGCUUCUAAACGUCCUCCGGACAAUAUCUGAACAUCUGACCUCAAAUCAGGUAGGACUACCCGCUGAACUUAA
rnacentral:rRNA from 1 species